rnacentral:rRNA from 1 species
UACGUAGGCAGCAAGCGUUGUUCGGAAUUACUGGGCGUAAAGAGUGUGUAGGCGGUGCUCUAAGUUUGGUGUGAAAUCUCCCGGCUCAACUGGGAGGGUGCGCUAGAAACUGGAAUGCUAGAGGAUGGGAGAGGUAAGCGGAAUUCCUGGUGUAGCGGUGAAACGCGUAGAUAUCAGGAGGAACACCUGUGGUGUAGACAGCUUACUGGACCAUUUCUGACGCUGAGACACGAAAGCGUGGGUAGCAAACAGG